rnacentral:rRNA from 1 species
GCGGUAAUUCCAGCUCCAAUAGCGUAUAUGUAAAUUGUUGCGGUUGAAAAGCUCGUAGUUGGACUUCUGGCGUCCGCAUUCUGUCCGCCUUGCGUGAUGAUGGUUUGCGGGCGUCGUUUUGUCGACGGUGCGUGUCGGACUUCACUGGCCGGUGCGCUCUCUGUCGGCGACGUUACUUUGAGGAAAUCAGAGUGCUCAAAGCAAGCGUUUGCUCGUGACUUCACUAGCAUGGAAUAACACAGAUGGGCUCUUUUUCGCAACGUUGGUCUGCGUCAACUGAGCAACGAUCGAUAGAGACGGUCGGGGGCAUUCGUAUUGCGCAGUUAGAGGUGAAAUUCUCCGAUCUGCGCAAGACGCACUAAUGCGAAAGCAGUUGCCAAGGACGUUCUCUUAUGAUCAAGAGCGAAAGUCGGGGGAUCAAAGAUGAUUAGAUACCGUCGUAGUCCCGACCAUAAAUGAUGCCAACUGAGCGUCGGCGACGCGGCUGUCAGCCGGACGUCGGCGCUCUUGAGAGAAAUUAAAGUCUUUGGGCUCCGGGGGUAGUAUGGUCGCAAGUCUGAAACUUGAAGGAAUUGACGGAAGGGCACCACAAGGCGUGGAUGUUGCGGCUUAAUUUGACUCAACACGGGAAAGCUUACUAGGUUUGGACACUUGAAUGAGGGACAUAUUGAAGCUCUUACCUUUUUUUGUGGAUGGUGGUGCAUGGUCGUUCUCAGCCCGUGGGUUGACCUGUCAGGUUUACUCCGGUAACGCGCGAGACCUCGGUUUGCUAAAUAGACACGGCUGUUUCGGCACCCGUGAUCUUCUUAGAGAGAGUCUUGACGAGAGUUGAGGGAAGUCGAGGCAAUAACAGAUCUGUGAUGCCCUUAGUUAUCCUAGGUCGCACGCGCCAUACAAUGUGGCGCACAACGAGUCUCCUAGGCCGACAGGAUCUGGGCAAUCUUGCAGAGCGCUACGUGACUGGGCUAGACUUUUGUAAUUGUUGGUCUUGAACGAGGAAUGCCUAGUAAUCGCAGGUCAUUAUCCUGAGAUGAUUCGGUCCCUGCCCUUUGUACACACCGCCCGUCGCUCCAUCCGUGGCAUGCGCCGGUGAAGAGGGGGAGGCAGCGUCGAUCGGGUAACACCGGCUCGUACGUGGAACCCCUCUGAACCUUCGCACGUAGAGGAAGGAGAAGUCGUAACAAGGUUUUCGUAGGUGAACCUGCGAAAGGAUCAUUAUCGGCACA